AAGUCGUAACAAGGUUUCCGUAGGUGAACCUGCGGAAGGAUCAUUAUUGAAUAAACUUGAGCAGGCUGUUGCUGUCUCCUCACUCCAAAGGGGGUGUAUGUGCACGCUUGCCAUCUUUAUUUCUCCAACUGUGCACAUAUUGUAGACCUGGAAAGUUGAUUGAUUAUUUUUCGAGUUGGGACUGCUGUGCUCUUUGAAAAGAAUCAGCUUUGCCUUGCAUUUUCUGGGUCUAUGUCACUUUUACAAACCUUUGAAUCUGUUUAGAAUGUUGAAUCAGGUCCUUAUGUACCUAUAAAGUUAUAUAUACAACUUUCAGCAACGGAUCUCUUGGCUCUCGCAUCGAUGAAGAACGCAGCGAAAUGCGAUAAGUAAUGUGAAUUGCAGAAUUCAGUGAAUCAUCGAAUCUUUGAACGCAUCUUGCGCUCCUUGGUAUUCCGAGGAGCAUGCCUGUUUGAGUGUCAUUUAAGUUCUCAACCACAACGGAUUCUUUUCUGGUGUGGCUUGGAUGUGGGGGGAAUUUUUUUUGCAGGCUUUGGAAAUGAAGUCGGCUUCCCUGAAAUGCAUUAGUAGUAUCCGAGCAGAAAAACUACUACAGGUGUGAUAACUUAUCUAUGCCUUGGUAUUCUGCAUGAAUGGAUUGCACUGCUUACAACAAAUCUUUUUGACAAAUUUGACCUCAAAUCAGGUAGGACUACCCGCUGAACUUAAGCAUAUCAAUAAGCGGAGGAAAAGAAACUAACAAGGAUUCCCCUAGUAACUGCGAGUGAAGCGGGAAAAGCUCAAAUUUGAAAUCUGGCAGUUCUUGACUGUCCGAGUUGUAGUCUAGAGAA
rnacentral:misc_RNA from 1 species